rnacentral:rRNA from 1 species
UGGGGAAUUUUGGACAAUGGGGGAAACCCUGAUCCAGCCAUCCCGCGUGUGCGAUGAAGGCCUUCGGGUUGUAAAGCACUUUUGGCAGGAAAGAAACGUCGCGGGUUAAUACCCCGCGAAACUGACGGUACCUGCAGAAUAAGCACCGGCUAACUACGUGCCAGCAGCCGCGGUAAUACGUAGGGUGCAAGCGUUAAUCGGAAUUACUGGGCGUAAAGCGUGCGCAGGCGGUUCGGAAAGAAAGAUGUGAAAUCCCAGAGCUUAACUUUGGAACUGCAUUUUUAACUACCGGGCUAGAGUGUGUCAGAGGGAGGUGGAAUUCCGCGUGUAGCAUGAAAUGCGUAGAUACGCGGAGGAACACCGAUGGCGAAGGCAGCCUCCUGGGAUAACACUGACGCUCAUGCACGAAAGCGUGGGGAGCAAACAGGAUUAGAUACCCUGGUAGUCCACGCCCUAAACGAUGUCAACUAGCUGUUGGGGCCUUCGGGCCUUGGUAGCGCAGCUAACGCGUGAAGUUUGACCGCCUGGGGAGUACGGUCGCAAG